ACCCAGGGUACAAUCUGAAUUGUUGAACAGCUGUGUCCCCUCAGUUCUCCAAUCUGGGGUGCUUUUUACACUGCUUCGCUGUAAGAAUAUCCUCUCUUGUCUG